rnacentral:rRNA from 1 species
GAUGAACGCUGGCGGCGUGCCUAAUACAUGCAAGUCGAGCGAACGGACGAGAAGCUUGCUUUUCUGAUGUUAGCGGCGGACGGGUGAGUAACACGUGGAUAACCUACCUAUAAGACUGGGAUAACUUCGGGAAACCGGAGCUAAUACCGGAUAAUAUUUUGAACCGCAUGGUUCAAAAGUGAAAGACGGUCUUGCUGUCACUUAUAGAUGGAUCCGCGCUGCAUUAGCUAGUUGGUAAGGUAACGGCUUACCAAGGCAACGAUGCAUAGCCGACUUGAGAGGGUGAUCGGCCACACUGGAACUGAGACGCGGUCCAGACUCCUACGGGAGGCAGCAGUAGGGAAUCUUCCGCAAUGGGCGAAAGCCUGACGGAGCAACGCCGCGUGAGUGAUGAAGGUCUUCGGAUCGUAAAACUCUGUUAUUAGGGAAGAACAUAUGUGUAAGUAACUGUGCACAUCUUGACGGUACCUAAUCAGAAAGCCACGGCUAACUACGUG